rnacentral:rRNA from 1 species
GACGAACGCUGGCGGCGUGCCUAACACAUGCAAGUCGAACGGAGCCGGCCCCGCAAGGGACUGGCUUAGUGGCGAACGGGUGAGUAACGCGUGAGGAACCUGCCUUUCUAGUGGGGGACGAACAGUUGGAAACGACUGCUAAUACCGCAUGACGCUUCUUGGGGGCGAUCCCCGGGGAGGUCAAAGCUUUAUGUGCUGAAAGAUGGCCUCGCGUCUGAUUAGCUAGUUGGCGGGGUAACGGCCCACCAAGGCGACGAUCAGUAGCCGGUCUGAGAGGAUGAACGGCCACAUUGGGACUGAGAUACGGCCCAGACUCCUACGGGAGGCAGCAGUGGGGAAGUAUUGCACAAUGGGCGAAAGCCUGAUGCAGCGACGCCGCGUGAGCGAAGAAGUA